GAAGGAACGGUUGCGCGCAACAACAGUUGUGCAAUUACAGAACCAACGAUGAGGCUGGCGAUACGAAAUGAAACCACAGGCAAACGGAUCUCACGGCGGAGACCCGGGAAAAGAAAAGAAAAUAAGGAACUAUUCUGACCAUAAAAUCAUUCAACAGCGUAACACAGUUGGCGCUUUCACUCUCUUACAGCAAACGUAUCACAGCAUCAGAUCAACAGGGGACAUUACGACAUUUGCAGGUCUCCUGCUACCACCAUUCCACCUCUGCAGCUCAUCCACAAUGCAGCAGCUCCACUGCUCUUUAACCUUCCUAAGUCCUCUAAACAUGGUGCUCACGUACCGUGCUGUGAAUGGAUGGGGUCCAGCUUACAUCCAGGACCUGGUCCAACCCGACAUCCCGACCCGCACUCUCCGCUUUGCAUGUGAUAAACUGCUUGUUCCUCCUCACUGAGAGAAAAACACUCGACUAGAUCUCCACUCUUUGCUGUCCUGCUCCUAAAUGGUGGAAGGAGGUCUCUGAAGACAUCAGGACCACAGAGAGCCUUCACAUCUUCAGACUAAAGACACACCUCUCCAGACUCUACGUCUACUAACACACUAACUAACUGUAGCACUUACAUUGGACUUAUAAUGGUUCUUAUCUACAGCGAGUUGUAAAGCGGCUUAUUAGCGUCAGCUAAUUGACAUGUGAUGUAAUGAAGGUGUGAAGGUGUGGACUCUGCUAUGAAUCAGGCUGAGGACCCAGAGGACGGAGUCCCUCCCUCUGAAGCCCCUCUGUGUGGGGAACAUGACAGCCAGACCAAAGCUCAGAGGAUCCAUCAGAGACCAGGACCUGGACCUGGACCCAGCUGUGUGUCCAUGAAGAGUGAUCGGUCUAAAGGUCGACUGACUUCAAAGAUGGACGUGGUUCUUAUGAGCCUCACUAAGCUCUAGAACAGAAGAACCAGAUGAAGAACAUGAUGAUUGGUUGUAUUGUAACAUUAAGUGAAGAUGGAUUGAUGUCAGUGAGGGAUUUCACAUUCAUUUGUGGUGUGAAAACAUGGCAGGUCUCCCUGCUCGAUGUCGCACCGUCUCAUUCAUUCACUUGGCUCAUGACGUCCACCUGAAUGUUCCUCUUUGGCUAAAAAGUGCCCUAAAUCGCUUGAGACAGGUAACAUCACAUUAUGGCUCAAUUCAGUGCACCUCGUGACUCACUCUCCACCAAUCAGAGCGCUUGAUUUCACCCAUAUUAUAAAAGAAUAUGCGAUACGGGACAUGAAACAUAACCAGUAGUCCAAGUGCAAGCAGCCAGUUGAUGGUGAAUUUAUGCUACUUUGUUGAAUUCAUAUGUUUGUGAAUGUGACUUUGAAAGAGUCAGAGCCUCCAGCCACCAACCUCACCGCACGUCACUGCCAGCAGCUCUGUGAAAGGUCC
ensembl:lncRNA